rnacentral:rRNA from 1 species
UACGAAGGGGGCUAGCGUUGUUCGGAUUUACUGGGCGUAAAGCGCACGUAGGCGGACUAUUAAGUCAGGGGUGAAAUCCCGGGGCUCAACCCCGGAACUGCCUUUGAUACUGGUAGUCUUGAGUUCGAGAGAGGUGAGUGGAAUUCCGAGUGUAGAGGUGAGAUUCGUAGAUAUUCGGAGGAACACCAGUGGCGAAGGCGGCUCACUGGCUCGAUACUGACGCUGAGGCGCGAAAGCGUGGGAGCAAACAGG